AAUAGAUACCCGGGUAGUCCACGCCGUAAACGAUGAGUGCUAAGUGUUAGAGGUUUCCGCCCUUUAGUGCUGCAGCUAACGCAUUAAGCACUCCGCCUGGGGAGUACGGCCGCAAGGCUGAAACUCAAAGGAAUUGACGGGGGCCCGCACAAGCGGUGGAGCAUGUGGUUUAAUUCGAAGCAACGCGAAGAACCUUACCAGGUCUUGACAUCCUCUGCCAACCCUAGAGAUAGGGCGUUCCCCGUUCGGGGGUACGAGAGUGACAGGUGGUGCAUGGUUGUCGUCAGCUCGUGUCGUGAGAUGUUGGGUUAAGUCCGCAACGAGCGCAACCUUGAUCUUAGUUGCAGCAUUCGAGUUGGGCACUCUAAGGUGACUGCCGGUGACGAACCGGAGGAAGGGUGGGGUAGUGACGUACAAACUACACUACAUCGUACCCCGUUACUACGUACCGU
rnacentral:rRNA from 1 species